GAAUUUUUCUCCGCAUCAAACCUCGUCCGCACGCGCCACACCCCUUCGCGCGGACAACGGAGAAGCGAGAAACGCACAGCCGAUGAGGCCUCUACGCGCCGUCGCUCUGCUCCUCCUCGCGGCGGCAGCAGCCGCGGCCGCCGCGACGCCGUGGGCGGGGAGCGGCCAGGAGCCCGGCUCCAUCAGCAAAGACGACUUCCCUGGGGACUUCAGCUUCGGGGCUAGCACAUCAGCUUAUCAGUGGGAAGGCGCGGCGGCGGAGGACGGCCGGACUCCCAGCGUCUGGGACACCUUCGCUCACGCUCACGCCCACGCCGGUGAUGACUCUGUAAAUGGUGAUGUGGCAGCUGACGGCUACCAUAAGUACAAGGAGGAUAUCAAAUUAAUGAAGGAGACCGGACUGGAUUCUUAUAGAUUCUCUAUCUCUUGGUCAAGGCUUAUUCCUAAAGGAAGAGGAGAAGUCAAUCCAAAAGGAGUAGGAUACUACAAUAAUCUCAUCAAUGAACUUCUUGAUCAUGGAAUUCAACCACAUGCAACGAUUUUCCAGUAUGAUCUUCCUCAAAUCCUUGAAGAUGAAUAUGGUGGAUGGUUGAAUCCCCAAAUAAUUGAUGAUUUCACAGCAUACGCAGAUGUGUGCUUUAGGGAAUUUGGGGAUAGGGUUACCAAUUGGACCACUCUAAAUGAACCUAACGCUUUAGUUUCGGUUGGCUAUGAUGCUGGUAUUGGGCCACCAGGGAGAUGUUCUAAACCAUUUGGAUUUGCUGACUGUUCCUGUGGGGACUCUGUAAACGAGCCAUACGUUGUAGCUCAUAAUUGCUUAUUGGCUCAUAGCUCAGCUGUGUCACUAUACAGAAGAAAGUAUCAGGUACUAUCUUUUCACUAGCAAAUGAGUACUAUGGUAUUUAUAAAGUGCUUUCUUGAUAGUUAGAUUCACAUUUUCAUUGUGACACAUCAAUGCAGUAGUCUAUGUGAUAUAAUUGGCAAGUUAUUUGAGAUUAGAAUAAAUUAUUGUUUUGAAUAAUUGGUCUGCUCGAAAAAUAAAAUCUGAAUGCUAUCUUUGUUGCUGAUAUUCUGUGCUAAUUAUUGUUCCUUGGACUUUAGAUAUAACUUAAGUAUUUUUCCUAAGGACGUUAAAAGCACCAUGUUUCAUAUGAAACCGGUUAUAUCCAUGGACAAAAAUAUACUUUGUGCUGCAGACAAAGCAACACGGACUUAUUGGCAUGAAUAUAUGUAUAAAUAACAUAUUACCUUAUACAAAUUCAACCGAAGAUAUAGCUGCAGCGAAAAGAGCACAAGCCUUCUACACAGGCUGGUUCUUGGAUCCUCUCUAUUAUGGAGACUACCCACUUGUGAUGAAGGAGAAUACUGGCUCCAAGUUGCCAAAAUUUUCUCGAAGCCAGUCUAAACAACUAAUCAAUUCUAUGGACUUUCUUGGCAUCAAUUACUACACAUUUUUGUACGUGAAGGAUGACCCGCAUCAUGCUCCUAGCAACAAAAGGAAUUUCAGGGCUGAUAUGGCUGCUAAAUCAAUAUUUUCAAGCAAUUCUACCAGUGGGUUCUAUGUGCCAGGUUAUGGUAUACACCAAGUGCUUGAAUAUUUGAAGCAAUUUUAUGGUAAUCCUCCAAUCUAUAUCCAUGAGAAUGGAUAUCCAAUGCAUCAAGAUGUGGUAUUUGAUGAUGGCCCUAGGGUGGAAUUCUUGAGUGAACAUCUUAAAAACCUUCUUAUUGCUGUCAGGAACGGUUCGAAUACUAGGGGCUACUUUGCCUGGUCGCUGAUGGAUUUAUAUGAACUACUUAGUGUCGGGGACACGUAUGGGCUGUAUUACGUGGAUUUCGCUGAUGAGGAUCUCAAGAGAUACCCAAGGAGCUCUGCGAUUUGGUACAAGGAUUUUCUCAAGGAGAGGCGCACGGAGAGAUUCUCCGACCAUUAGCUCUUGACCUCGAGAGUUCGCUAGCUGUUUUCCGUAACAUGCAAUGUUAAACUGCUCCGCCGUCAUUCCAAACACACAAAAAAGCGGCCCAAGUAGAUGCUUCCAGUCUGCUGUAUCCCGUUUUAAUUGUAUUACGCACGUCGAAUCAAUCUCUUUCUCUCCCAAAAGAAAGAACGGUAAGUUCCCAAAUGGAAACCAUCUCCUGCAUCGGCAGGCAUCUUUUAA
rnacentral:rRNA from 1 species